UACGUAGGGUGCGAGCGUAAUCGGAAUUACUGGGCGUAAAGCGUGCGCAGGCGGUUUUGUAAGCCAGAUGUGAAAUCCCCGGGCUCAACCUGGGAAUGGCAUUUGGGACUGCAAGGCUGGAGUACGGCAGAGGAGACUGGAAUUCCUGGUGUAGCAGUGAAAUGCGUAGAUAUCAGGAGGAAUACCGAUGGCGAAGGCAGGUCUCUGGGCUGAUACUGACGCUCAUGCACGAAAGCGUGGGGAGCAAACAGG
rnacentral:rRNA from 1 species